GGGGGAUAUUGCGCAAUGGGGGCAACCCUGACGCAGCCAUGCCGCGUGAAUGAAGAAGGCCUUCGGGUUGUAAAGUUCUUUCGGUAGCGAGGAAGGCAUUUAGUUUAAUAGACUAGGUGAUUGACGUUAACUACAGAAGAAGCACCGGCUAACUCCGUGCCAGCAGCCGCGGUAAUACGGAGGGUGCGAGCGUUAAUCGGAAUAACUGGGCGUAAAGGGCACGCAGGCGGUGACUUAAGUGAGGUGUGAAAGCCCCGGGCUUAACCUGGGAAUUGCAUUUCAUACUGGGUCGCUAGAGUACUUUAGGGAGGGGUAGAAUUCCACGUGUAGCGGUGAAAUGCGUAGAGAUGUGGAGGAAUACCGAAGGCGAAGGCAGCCCCCUUGGGAAUGUACUGACGCUCAUGUGCGAAAGCGUGGGGAGCAAACAGGAUUAGAUACCCUGGUAGUCCACGCUGUAAACGAUGUCGAUUUGGGGGCUGAACUUUAAGUUUGGCGCCCGUAGCUAACGUGAUAAAUCGACCGCCUGGGGAGUACGGCCGCAAGGUUA
rnacentral:rRNA from 1 species